ensembl:lncRNA
UUUUCUCCACAGAUUCUCUCCAGGCCCUUUACCCUUACUCCACAAGAUCUCUGUUAGGUCAGGACUUACCGCAGCAUUUGAUGUGAGGUUGGGAGCAACUGCAAUCUAAUCUUGCUGACGUUUAGCCUCCAGUUUCUCUCAUGGUCAGGUGUGAGAGCAGCAGUUUAUCUGGGAGUAGGCUUGGCAAAAAAAUGAACUAUCGGGGCAAGAGAAGCAGAACUACUGGACGUAGGCAGAAAGGCCGAGGAGGCUGCCCGAACAAGCAAAAUGAGGAGGUUCAACGGACAGGAGACCCGCAGCACAGCCAGGGCUGCCUGGCGGGCGGGCUCUCGGAAAAAGGCGAGAGGGGCAUGGAGGGACAGCGGCAGGAGGUCCCAGAGACCGACCCCGGAGCUCGAGGCCCAGAGUCUCCUGAGCAGGGCUCAGGUUCCAAUUCGAGAAGAAACAGGGUACUGAGAACAAACCCCGGGCAAGGGCCAUCUUGUGAGGACUGAGACGGGGCUCUCCUGAUGGGAGAAGGCGGCUUUGUCGCAAGUUAAGCUCGCCAACUAAGAAAAUGCAACCAGAAAAAGCCACUGAAGAGACCGGGCAUUCACAACGGCCUCUCAGAGGACCUUGCAGACAAACGUUUAUUAACCUGAAUGGCCACUGUCAGGAUUUCUCCAGGGGCCACAGAAAGGAUCUCUGACUCAGACUGUGCGUAUGGAGAACCACGCCCAUUCUUACAUGGGGUGGGGGAGUCUGUGACCCGGGGCCCUCUCACCUGCCUCAGCUACACUACCGUUUCUCAGCGGUCUUACCCCUGGAGCUUGGGAGGAGUCCUAGACAUUCUCCGAGACUGGACUCUAGCAAUCCGCUGCCAAGAGAUGGGCGCAGGCCCCACAUGGAACCCGUGUUCCCACACAGGACUCCUCACCUGCAAAUGUUGCCGGAAAAUGCAGAGCAGGACUCCCAGUGAUCAACCUUCUGAGGACAGCUUUAAUGGGCUCCCCAACCUAAAAUAUUCAACAUGGUCAUGCUCCACUAGCAUUUCUAACAGCCAGACCGCAAGAGGUACAGCGCUGCAGGGAGAAAUAAUACAGCCCAAGGAGGAAAAUAAUUCUAUGUGCUGAGAAAAGUAAGUACUGUGCUAAGAAAAAAGAGUGAAACCGUGGUGAGAUAAUGUUUCAAUAAAUUUGGCACUACAUUUUCUACCCA